rnacentral:rRNA from 1 species
CGACCGGCGCACGGGUGAGUAACACGUAUGCAACCUGCCCGUCUCAGGGGGAUAAUCGUCGGAAACGGCGUCUAAUACCCCGUAUGAAGCUGGACGGCAUCGUCUGGUUUUGAAAGAAUAUCGGAGACGGAUGGGCAUGCGGCGCAUUAGCUAGUUGGCGGGGUAGCGGCCCACCAAGGCGACGAUGCGUAGGGGUUCUGAGAGGAAGGUCCCCCACACUGGUACUGAGACACGGACCAGACUCCUACGGAAGGCAGCAG